UUUCCGUAGGUGAACCUGCGGAAGGAUCAUUAUUGUAUAACCGAGGUGCGAGGGCUGUCGCUGACCCGAAAGGUCGUGCACGCCCGAGUGCCCUCACACACAUCCAUCUCACCCCUAUGUGCACCACCGCGUUGGUCCCCCUUUGGCUUGUUCGGAGGGGGGCUUACGUUUUCACACAAACUUUGUAUGCAGUGUAGAAUGUAUUUUUUGUUUUUGCGAUCACGCAAUCAAUACAACUUUCAACAACGGAUCUCUUGGCUCUCGCAUCGAUGAAGAACGCGC
rnacentral:misc_RNA from 1 species